UAAGUGAAUAGUGAAGCUGGAGGCUCAACCUUACAGACUAUUAUUCAAACUGGCAAACUCGAGAGUAGUAGAGGUAACUGGAAUUUCUUGUGUAGGAGUGAAAUCCGUAGAUAUAAGAAGGAACACCAAUGGCGUAGGCAGGUUACUGGACCAUUUCUGACACUGAGGCACGAAAGCGUGGGGAGCGAACGGGAUUAGAUACCCCGGUAGUCCACGCCGUAAACGAUGGAUACUA
rnacentral:rRNA from 1 species